rnacentral:rRNA from 1 species
UGAGGAAUAUUGGUCAAUGGACGGAAGUCUGAACCAGCCAUGCCGCGUGCAGGAUGACGGCCCUAUGGGUUGUAAACUCCUGUUAGAGGGGAAGAAUAGUACCGGUUGGACCGGUAUAUGACUGUACCCUCAGAGAAAGCCCCGGCUAACUACGUGCCAGCAGCCGCGGUAAUACGUAGGGUGCGAGCGUUAAUCGGAAUUACUGGGCGUAAAGCGUGCGCAGGCGGUUUUGUAAGACAGAUGUGAAAUCCCCGGGCUUAACCUGGGAACUGCGUUUGUGACUGCAAGGCUGGAGUACGGCAGAGGGGGGUGGAAUUCCACGUGUAGCAGUGAAAUGCGUAGAGAUGUGGAGGAACACCGAUGGCGAAGGCAGCCCCCUGGGCCUGUACUGACGCUCAUGCACGAAAGCGUGGGGAGCAAACA